GCGAAGUCGAUUUCCGCAAGGACAUCUGCAGAGGUGCUGCAUGGCUGUCGUCAGCUCGUGUCGUGAGAUGUUGGGUUAAGUCCCGCAACGAGCGCAACCCUUGUUCUCUGUUGCCAUCAGGUCAAGCUGGGCACUCUGAGAAGACUGCCGGUGACAAACCGGAGGAAGGUGGGGAUGACGUCAAGUCAGCAUGGCCUUUAUGUCCAGGGCUACACACGUGCUACAAUGGCCGGUACAAAGCGUCGCAAACUCGCGAGGGUGAGCUAAUCGCAUAAAGCCGGUCUCAGUUCGGAUCGCAGGCUGCAACUCGCCUGCGUGAAGCUGGAAUCGCUAGUAAUGGCGUAUCAGAAUGAUGCCGUGAAUACGUUCCCGGGCCUUGUACACACCGCCCGUCACAUCACGAAAGUGGAUUGUACUAGAAGUCCUAAUCAAACAGGCCCAAGGUAUGAUUCAUGAUUGGGGUGAAGUCGUAACAAGGUAACCGU
rnacentral:rRNA from 1 species